rnacentral:misc_RNA from 1 species
UACGGAGGGUGCAAACGUUGCUCGGAAUCAUCGGGCGUAAAGCGCGCGUAGGCGGUUCGGUAAGUCGGAUGUGAAAGUCCUGGGCUCAACCGAGGAAGUGCAUUCGAAACUGUCGAACUUGAGUACAGGAGAGGGUCGCGGAAUUCCCGGUGUAGAGGUGAAAUUCGUAGAUAUCGGGAGGAACACCAGUGGCGAAGGCGGCGGCCUGGACUGAUACUGACGCUGAGGUGCGAAAGCGUGGGGAGCAAACAGG